rnacentral:rRNA from 1 species
UACGUAGGGUGCGAGCGUUGUCCGGAUUUAUUGGGCGUAAAGAGCUCGUAGGCGGUUUGUCGCGUCGGCCGUGAAAUCUCCACGCUUAACGUGGAGCGUGCGGUCGAUACGGGCAGACUUGAGUUCGGUAGGGGAGACUGGAAUUCCUGGUGUAGCGGUGAAAUGCGCAGAUAUCGGGAGGAACACCUGUGGCGAAGGCGGCCGACUGGGCCGACCCUGACGCUGAGGCGCGAAGGCGUGGGGAGCGAACGGG